UUUCAAUGGAGAGUUUGAUCCUGGCUCAGGACGAACGCUGGCGGCGUGCCUAAUACAUGCAAGUCG
rnacentral:rRNA from 1 species